UACGUAGGGGGCGAGCGUUGUCCGGAUUUAUUGGGCGUAAAGAGCGUGUAGGCGGUUCGGUAAGUCUGUCGUGAAAUCCUGAGGCUCAACCUCGGGCGUGCGAUGGAUACUGCCGGGCUGGAGGGUGGUAGAGGCGAGUGGAAUUCCCGGUGUAGCGGUGAAAUGCGCAGAUAUCGGGAGGAACACCAGUAGCGAAGGCGGCUCGCUGGGCCACACCUGACGCUGAGACGCGAAAGCUAGGGGAGCGAACAGG
rnacentral:rRNA from 1 species